UCGGGAAUAGUUUAACGGUAGAACGGUGGACUCUGACUCCACUGGUCUUGGUUCGAAUCCAGGUUCCCGAGCCA
rnacentral:tRNA from 1 species